rnacentral:rRNA from 1 species
CCUACGGGUGGCAGCAGUGGGGAAUAUUGGACAAUGGGCGAAAGCCUGAUCCAGCCAUGCCGCGUGUGUGAAGAAGGCCUUCGGGUUGUAAAGCACUUUCAGUGGGGAAGAAAGCCUUGGGGCUAAUACCCUCGAGGAAGGACAUCACCCACAGAAGAAGCACCGGCUAACUCCGUGCCAGCAGCCGCGGUAAUACGGAGGGUGCGAGCGUUAAUCGGAAUUACUGGGCGUAAAGCGCGCGUAGGCGGUCUGAUAAGCCGGUUGUGAAAGCCCCGGGCUCAACCUGGGAACGGCAUCCGGAACUGUCAGGCUAGAGUGCAGGAGAGGAAGGUAGAAUUCCCGGUGUAGCGGUGAAAUGCGUAGAGAUCGGGAGGAAUACCAGUGGCGAAGGCGGCCUUCUGGACUGACACUGACGCUGAGGUGCGAAAGCGUGGGUAGCAAACAGGAUUAGAUCCCUUUAGU